UGCAUAUCCAAAAAGCGGAGGAAAAGAAACCAACAGGGAUUGCCUCAGUAACGGCGAGUGAAGCGGCAAAAGCUCAAAUUUGAAAUCUAGCACCUUCGGUGUUCGAGUUGUAAUUUGAAGAUGGUAACCUUGGGUUUGGCUCUUGUCUAUGUUCCUUGGAACAGGACGUCAUAGAGGGUGAGAAUCCCGUCUGAUGAGAUGCCCAUUCCUAUGUAAGGUGCUAUCGAAGAGUCGAGUUGUUUGGGAAUGCAGCUCUAAGUGGGUGGUAAAUUCCAUCUAAAGCUAAAUAUUGGCGAGAGACCGAUAGCGAACAAGUACAGUGAUGGAAAGAUGAAAAGAACUUUGAAAAGAGAGUGAAAAAGUACGUGAAAUUGUUGAAAGGGAAGGGCAUUAGAUCAGACUUGGUGUUUUACGAUUAUCUUCUCUUCUUGAGUUGUGCACUCGUAUUUCACUGGGCCAGCAUCGAUUCGGAUGGCAAGAUAAUGGCAGUUGAAUGUGGCUUCACUUCGGUGGAGUGUUAUAGCUUCUGCUGAUAUUGCCUGUCUGGAUCGAGGGCUGCGUCUUUGACUAGGAUGCUGCGAAGUAGAAGCU
rnacentral:rRNA from 1 species